rnacentral:rRNA from 1 species
UUAGAAUAUGUAGUGUAGCGGUGAAAUGCAUAGAGAUUACAUAGAAUACCAAUUGCGAAGGCAGAUCACUAACAAUAUACUGACGCUGAUGGACGAAAGCGUGGGGAGCGAACAGGAUUAGAUACCCUGGUAGUCCACGCCGUAAACGAUGAGAGCUAGUUGUCAGGCAGUAUACUGUUUGGUGACGCAGCUAACGCAUUAAGCUCUCCGCCUGGGGAGUACGGCCGCAAGGUUAAAACUCAAAUGAAUUGACGGGGGCCCGCACAAGCGGUGGAGCAUGUGG